rnacentral:rRNA from 1 species
AUUGAACUCUGGCGGCAGGCCUAACACAUGCAAGUCGAACGAGUGGCGGACGGGUGAGUAAUGUCUGGGAAACUGCCCGAUGUAGGGGGAUAACUACUGGAAACGGUAACUAAUACCGCCUACCAUCGGAUAUGCCCAGAUGGGCUUAGCUAGUAGGUGGGGUAACGGCUCACCUAGGCGACGAUCCCUAGCUGGUCUGAGAGGAUGACCAGCCACAUGGGAACUGAGAAACGGUCCAGACUCCGACGGGAGGCAGCAGUGGGGAAUAUGGCACAAUGGGCGCAAGACUGAUGCAGCCAUGCCGCGUGUAUGAAGAAGGCCUUCGGGUUGUAAAGUACUUUCAGCGAGGAGGCGUUACUCGCAGAAGAAGCACCGGCUAACUCCGUGCCAGCAGCCGCGGUAAUAC